rnacentral:rRNA from 1 species
GACGAACGCUGGCUGCGUGCUUAACACAUGCAAGUCGAACGCUGAAGCCUGGUGCUUGCACCGGGUGGAUGAGUGGCGAACGGGUGAGUAACACGUGAGUAACCUGCCCCUGACUUCGGGAUAAGCCCGGGAAACUGGGUCUAAUACCGGAUACGACUGCCGGACGCAUGUCUGGUGGUGGAAAGUUUUUUCGGUUGGGGAUGGGCUCGCGGCCUAUCAGUUUGUUGGUGAGGUAAUGGCUCACCAAGACGACGACGGGUAGCCGGCCUGAGAGGGCGACCGGCCACACUGGGACUGAGACACGGCCCAGACUCCUACGGGAGGCAGCAGUGGGGAAUAUUGCACAAUGGGGGAAACCCUGAUGCAGCGACGCAGCGUGCGGGAUGACGGCCUUCGGGUUGUAAACCGCUUUCAGCAGGGAAGAAGCGCAAGUGACGUACCUGCAG